rnacentral:piRNA from 1 species
UUCUUGUAGUCUUUUGUACCUUCUCACAGGA